rnacentral:rRNA from 1 species
UAGUCCACGCCGUAAACGAUGAGAACUAGAUGUCGGGGGAAUCUGUCCUUCGGUGUCGCAGCUAACGCGUUAAGUUCUCCGCCUGGGGAGUACGCCGGCAACGGUAAAACUCAAAGGAAUUGACGGGGACCCGCACAAGCGGUGGAGCAUGUGGUUUAAUUCGAUGCAACGCGAAGAACCUUACCUGCCCUUGACAUUGACAGAACCUUUUGGAGACAGAAGGGUGCCUUCGGGCCUGGAAAACAGGUGCUGCAUGGCUGUCGUCAGCCCGUGUCGUGGGAUGUUGGGUUAAGUCCCGUAACGAGCGCAACCCUUGUCCUUAGUUGCCAGCACGUAAUGGUGGGGACUCUAAGGAGACUGCCGGUGACAAACCGGAGGAAGGUGGGGACGACGUCAAGUCAUCAUGGCCCUUAUGGGUAGGGCUACACACGUGCUACAAUGGGCAGUACAGAGGGUUGCGAAGCCGCGAGGUGAAGCUAAUCUCAGAAAACUGUUCGUAGUCCGGAUUGCACUCUGCAA